AGUGCGGGGUGGGGGGGUGACUCCAGUCAGGGAACAAAUGGGGAGAGACACAGAAAGAGGCCGGCCGCCUGCUGGGCUUGGGAACAGCCAUGCAGUCAUGUUACCAUGUUGAAGCCAUGUGCCCAGACACCUGAGAGGAACUCUAUGAGUGGGCUGAAAGGUAUGCAGUAGGAGCCAAAUUGGUAGCUGCCCGGGGCCAACCACAAGAAGUUAAGGGCAAAGGGGAAGGAAGGCAUCUUAGGGACUUAUUGUGACACUUUUAGAGACCACGGCACCGUUAUGAAGCAGGCCAAGGGUUGAACUGCUGCCCCUGGAAGACAGGGAAGCUCUUCUCCCAGCCUCUAGGGGAGCCCGUGGGAGCAAUGACUGGCUGCAGACCAGGAGUCCAGAUGCAGGGGGCUGGCGUCUGGGGGCAUAGACACGAUAGACACGCACGUACCAGCCCUGCUUCUCUGUUUAUCGAGUCAGUUACAAGGAUCCACAGAUUGAUGUUUGGGGCCUUCGUGUGGAAUCCCACCCCCUCACUCGUAACUCCAGGGUAAUAAAAUCCUGGCUUUGUCCCUGGAAAUGUGCUGGGAGGUGACUGCUUAAUGAGUCACUGGCAGGGCAGGGAGUUCCGGUUUUUGUAUCUAUGGCUACAGGCCAUGCUCAGAAGGAUUUCUCAAAGGAGCUUAGGACUGCAUGCCAAGGGAGCCCUCAGAGAUGGCCCAGUGUGCUCUGCAGUGAGGAGGGGCCCAUGGAACCCGGCCAUCGGAUGCCCCAGGUGUGACCACACGUGAGGUUCCCUGGGGGGGGGGGUCAAGGUACAGCAAGGAAUUUGGCUCUUGUGCUACAGGGUAGCAACAUGCCGAAUUCCUCUCUUAUUAACAGUUAAGUCCAUGGACCCAGGGCUACCCCUGAACUUGGGGCUCCCCCCGUAUCCUGAGGGCCUCUGCCUCAGCACAGCCGGAGCAAGCUGUGAGACAGUGUUCCCCACAGAGGAAAUCUAGCCCUCCCGUGGGUACUAUCCAGGAGCUAGAGUGUGGAGAACAUUCUCCUUGCUCAGGCUGUGAGGACCCACCCCACAGGCCUAUCUGGGAUCCAAACAUUGGCAAAUGUCACCAAGUGCGUAAGUCAUUUUAUUUAAACAGGCAGCUUGCUGUGUUUGGAGGACUGGACUCAAGACCUGUCUUCACCCCCUCGAUGGCAAUGUGGGGAGAUGCAGACUGGCAGGGUGACUUCCUCAGAAUGAGGCAUAGCAGAGUUUUUCUGGUUCAUAAGGAGCCUCUAGCUCCACGGUAGAAUCACGGUUUUGUGCAACCCGGGCCUCCAUAGCUGGAGGCUGCAGGCCUAGCAGAGACUGCAGAGCCUGGAGCAAGAUGCCAAGUUCCUCUCUCUGAGCGAUCUAGGAAUGGGGGAUGGGGGUGGGCUGUAGAGGUAGCACAGGGGAACACAAACACAGGAAGACGUUCGUGUCCCAGUGUCCCCAGAGUUCCAGAGCCAACACAAGCUGUAGACAACUCAGAAUUCAUGCCUGCCUUGGGGACUCAGCGUUGGUCCAGCGUGUCACUAGGAUCUCAGCAUCAUCUAAGCAAGAACUUCCCAACCUCACAGAGCUGAGCAUGAAACAGACUGUGGAUGGAGAGAUGGGGUAUUUGUCUGUGUUCUGUGGGCAGACGCUGUGGAGCCCUCGGUAGAAGCCACGGGACUGACAGCAGGCACUGACGGUGGCAGGGUGGAGCUCCAGGGACUCAUGUCCAGAGCGAGCUGUCCACCUGGGUUUGAAACCUUAAUCCUGUCUGUAGCCUCCCCCAUGGCAGGGCUUGGCUCAGAGACCACUCCGUGCCACAUGGACCUGACUUGAUGUUGUCUGCUGAUGCUGGACCAGUGUAAGCCUAAGCCGAUGUGGUCCCUCAAACAUGGCCAGCUUCCAGCCUUGGCAGCAGCUUUGUCUUACCCAGAAUGCAGACUUGUGCGCGUGGUGUGUGUGUGUGUAUAUGUAUGUGUGUGUGUUAGAGAUUCCCAUGUCCUUCAUUUACUCUUAGAGCUGUGCGAGGCCGGUUCUAUGUUCUCUUUCAAGUACAGCCAGCGUCACAACAUUUAUUAGAAAACUUGUUUUUUUUUUUAUUGUUGUUUGCUUUCUUUGAGGUAGUGUCUCCUGUAUCCCAAGCUGGUCUCCAACUCCUUAUGUAGCUGAGCAUGACCUUGAAUUUCUCAUCCUCCGGCCUCUACCUCUGGUGGGCUGGGAUUACAGGGGCGUGCCACCACACCCAGUUUAUGCGAUAUUGGACGAACCUAGGGCCUUGUGCAUGCUAGGCAGAUGCUCUACCAACUGAGCCAUACCCCCCAGUACUGUUGACAUAACAGCGAAGAAAGAAUUGAACAACUGGGGCUGGAGCGAUGGCUCAGAGGUUAAGAGCACUGGCUGCUCUUCCAGAGGUCCCCAGUUCAGUUCCCAGCACCCACAUGGUGGCUCACAACCAUCUGUAAUGAGAUCUGGUGCCCUCUUCUGGUCUCCAGGCAUCCACACAGACCCAAUACUAUAUACACAAUAAGUAAAUUAAUUAAUUAAAAAAAGAAUUGAACAGCUGGAAAAGACAAGAGAAAGGCAGCGUAACCGUUUCAUACAUUAGGGAUGGGAGACGCCUAAGGCUGGAUGUCCGCUAAGCAGAUCCUGGCUUGGGUAUUUUAUAGGACCCCUGGGUUCUCCCCUUUCUCCUGUUGGUCCUGUUUAGAUACCCACCCCCAUGCCUUCCUGAUGCCUUUCCUCCAAAUGUGUUCUGGGAACAAGCAGCAGCCAUCUCCGGAAACCUACCUCCACUUUCCUAGUCUACCCGAGUCCCUCUAAAUCCACCUUACAGCGCGAGCACGUGCCAUCCUCAGCUCACGGUGGGGUCCCCUGUGCCCUUGGCUCUGUGUCUGGUCUCAGUGUUCACCCACAGGCCUCUGUGGCCUCCUGCAUGGUGACACAGGACAGGAGCUGCAUGGCAAGUCCCUUCUGCCCUUUCAGCCUUCUCUGAAAAUCUCCCACCUUUCCCCUCCCUUCUAGAAUCAGCUAUGGAGUCUCAAACCUGUUCUCCCGGGAGUUGUUGACCCUUGGGGACGACUGGGAUGUUGUCUUUGAGUGUUCAGAAGUGACUCCAUGUUGCCCCUCACUUAGGUCUUUGGUUCUGUCUUUCAUGCCGGAUCUGCCCACGUCACGGUCACGUUGUCUCCAUAGCAGAGAUUAUUCCUGAGUUAGGUGCCUUGCGUGUAAAAUCUCCCAACCUGGCAACCUAAGGGUGAAACUACAAACAAGUGCGAUCUUCCCCUGAGCGCUAGACUGAGCAGCGGCUCUGGUGCCUGGUGUUCUAGAGGGUGCCGUUCCUCCAGGCCUGAGCUGGUGAUGCACAGGGACCUCUGCAAAGCAGGCCUCCGCAGUGAACACUAGACGGGCCCAACAUCCCCCUGAGACUCAUGGGAAGGGAGCAGCCUUUGCUUCCACUGAUGGAUAGCCAGAGUGCCGUUAGGGCUCAGCCUGAAUGGAUGAUGCCAACUCUUCCAGGGAUCAUAGCAGAGCUGAGGCUAACACUGGGCUUUGGCCAUCCUCAUGGGUCCCCCAUCCAUAACUAGGAUAUUAGGCAGGGUUCUUGAGAGGAACUUAGUGGAUAAAACAUACAGACCCAGACAUACACACACACACACACACACCAUGCACAGUUCUACAUUCUCUGUGUGUGUGUGUGUGUGUGUGUGUAUGUGUGUGUGUUUGUGUACGUACCUCUGGCCUUCACACAUGCAUAUACAUACACCUGCACACAUGUAUAAGACUGCAUACACCACCCACCUUAUACACAAUAAAAUUAAUUUUAAAAUAAAAUGUAAA